GCUCUUCUCGCUGCAUGUCUACAAAAGGAAGGAGGAGUCAGUGUGGGCACAGAGGCAAGCGGACCGCAGCCGCAGCCAGGACAAUGGAACCGCAGCAAGGACAGUCGGACUACAGCCACAGCCCAGACAAUCGAACACAGCCACAGCCCGGACAAUCGAACACAGCCACAGCCCGGACAAUCGAACCACAGCUAGAAGAGUCGGACAGCAGCCAUGGUCCACACAAUCGAACACAGCCACAGCCCGGGCAAUCGAACACGCCACAGUUGGAACAAUAGAACACAGCCACAGACCAGACAAUCGAACACUGCCACAGCUGGAACAAUCAAACGCAGUCACUGCGCAGAUAAUCGAACACAACCACAGCUGGAACAAUUGAACCGCCGUCACAGCCAGGAAAAUCAGCAUGGACAGAUAGAUUUGGAGCCUACUCCAGAAGGAGAUCGCUCUGCAGGAAAGCGGGCACAGAUUGGUACCUCUUUGGCGACGGUGUGCCAGUGAAGAUGGGUCUCACAAACAUCCAUCCGCUCCUGGUGUAGGAACUUGCACUUGUCGGGCACGAGAAGGGCGUCGCUCACAAACUCACCAACUGAAA